UACAGAGGUCUCAAGCGUUGUUCGGAUUCAUUGGGCGUAAAGGGUGCGUAGGUGGCGCGGUAAGUCGGGUGUGAAAUCUCGGAGCUUAACUCCGAAAUUGCAUUCGAUACUGGCGUGCUCGAGGACUGGAGAGGAGACUGGAAUUCAUGGUGUAGCAGUGAAAUGCGUAGAGAUCAUGAGGAAGACCAGUGGCGAAGGCGGCUCUCUGGGACGGUACUGACGCUGAGACGCGAAAGCGUGGGGAGCGAACAGG
rnacentral:rRNA from 1 species